GAUGAACGCUAGCGGCGUGCCUAAUACAUGCAAGUCGAACGAGGGAACCUGAUGCUUGCAUUGGGUGUACCUAGUGGCGAACGGGUGAGUAACGCGUUGGUGACCUGCCCCGAAGAGGGGGAUAACAGCUCGAAAGGGCUGCUAAUACCCCAUGUGCUUGCUGGAGUUAGAGAUCUGGCAAGUAAAGGAGCAAUCCGCUUCGGGAGGGGCCUGCGUCCCAUCAGCUAGUUGGUAGGGUAACGGCCUACCAAGGCGACGACGGGUAGGGGGCCUGAGAGGGUGGCCCCCCACAAUGGAACUGAAACACGGUCCAUACACCUACGGGUGGCAGCAGUAGGGAAUAUUGCACAAUGGGCGAAAGCCUGAUGCAGCAACGCCGCGUGGGCGAAGAAGGCCUUCGGGUUGUAAAGCCCUUUUCGAGGGGAUGAGAAAGGACAGUACCCUCGGAAUAAGCCUCGGCUAACUACGUGCCAGCAGCCGCGGUAAUACGUAGGAGGCGAGCGUUAUCCGGAUUUACUGGGCGUAAAGCGCGUGCAGGCGGUUUGACAAGUCGGAUGUGAAAUCUCCGGGCUCAACCCGGAGAGGCCGUUCGAGACUGUCGGACUAGAGGACGGUAGAGGGAGGUGGAAUUCCCGGUGUAGUGGUGAAAUGCGUAGAUAUCGGGAGGAACACCAGUGGCGAAGGCGGCCUCCUGGGCCGAUCCUGACGCUCAGACGCGAAAGCUAGGGUAGCAAACGGGAUUAGAGACCCCGGUAGUCCUAGCCGUAAACGAUGCGGACUUGGCGUCGGCAGUGUAAAAACUGUCGGUGUCGAAGCUAACGCGAUAAGUCCGCCGCCUGGGGACUACGGCCGCAAGGCUAAAACUCAAAGGAAUUGACGGGGGCCCGCACAAGCAGCGGAGCGUGUGGUUUAAUUCGAUGCUACACGAAGAACCUUACCUGGGCUUGACAUGGUGGCGAACGAACGCGAAAGCGGGAGGUUCCCUUCRGGGACGCCAUCACAGGUGUUGCAUGGCUGUCGUCAGCUCGUGUCGUGAGAUGUCCGGUUAAGUCCGGUAACGAGCGCAACCCUUGCCGCAUGUUACAAGUGUCAUGCGGGACCGCCGGUAACAAGCCGGAGGAAGGUGGGGAUGACGUCAAGUCAGCAUGGCCUUUAUGUCCAGGGCUACACACACGCUACAAUGGCCGGUACAAUGGGUUGCAAAACCGCGAGGUGGAGCCAAUCCCAAAAGCCGGUCUCAGUUCGGAUUGCAGGCUGCAACUCGCCUGCAUGAAGUCGGAGUUGCUAGUAACCGCGCGUCAGCAAUAGUGCGGUGAAUACGUUCUCGGGCCUUGUACACACCGCCCGUCACGUCAUGGGAGCUGGCAACACCUGAAGUCGGUAGCUGAACCCGAAAGGGAAGGCGCCGCCUAGGGUGGGGCUGGUGACUGGGACG
rnacentral:rRNA from 2 species